rnacentral:misc_RNA from 1 species
AUGCGAUAAGUAAUGUGAAUUGCAGAAUUCAGUGAAUCAUCGAAUCUUUGAACGCACCUUGCGCUCCUUGGUAUUCCGAGGAGCAUGCCUGUUUGAGUGUCAUUAAAUUCUCAACCUUACACCUGUUGUUUCAAGUGGCAAGGCUUGGAUGUGGGGGCUUGCAGGUCCGCCGCCUUGUGUGGUGGUCUGCUCCUCUGAAAUGCAUUAGUGGGUUUGUGCCCCUCAUCUAUUGGUGUGAUAAUUAUCUACGCCGCUGGGUGAUGCAUCAAUGAAACCUGCUCAUAACCGUCCCGAGUCGGGGACAGCUUUGAUCAAUUUGACCUCAAAUCAGGUAAGACUACCCGCUGAACUUAA